UCACACACAACACGAGUACACGUCCUUCUCCUCACCUCAUGAUUCAUAGGAAUGCAUAUGGCUGCCAAUUUACUCACAUUCCUACUAGGAACCCUAGCCGCCGCACGCCGCCCGUCGCCCACCGCUGUGGCCCGACGCCCCAUGCCCAUGAGAUGUGAGCCGGUGACGACCGCCGCAUUGAGACGUGCGGCGCGCCCCUGACCGAUGAAGAUCAGCACCCCGAGCCCCGGCCCCGACCAGUGGAGACCGGCGCCCCACGCCAUCAGUCGUUCCACUGUCCGCGACACAGCCGUUCGCCGCCGGUGACGACCGCCACAUAGAGGCGCGCGGGGCGCCCCUGAUCGAUGAAGAUCGGCGCCCCGAGCCAAGGCCCCGGCCAGUGGAGAUCGGCGCCCCGCGCCGCCAUCCCCGACCCCCCGUCAGUCGCUCCACUGCCCGCGACACGGCCGUCCACCGCCGGUGCUCCGCGCCCUGAUGAGUGGUUCAACAUCUGCAGUCCAUCACCACUCAUCACCACCCGUCUUCUUCAACUCUGCUCGUGGGCUCGCUGCCUACUGCCCUCCUUUAUUUCUCCACAUCGCAGCUGAAGAGAUGAUUGAAGAAUUUGGCGACAAGGUGGAGGGAAAGCACAAGGUCCAUGGUGGUGCUGAAAUUGAUUUGUUUGAUAUCAAGUAUUAUGUUAUCAAGUACUAAGUGAUGGUGGUCUGCUGUUUGCUGCUUGUCGAUUCCAAUAUUCCAUGGGCUAUUGUAUCUUGUGAUCUUCUUACUUUGUGUCAAAUAUAAAUGGUGUUGCUUGUUAUCUUCUCACUUGUCAAAUGUAAAUGUUGUUGCUUUUUGUCUUCUUACUUUCUGUCAAAUAUAAAUGAUAUGCAUACAUGAAUAUUGCUGCUGGACUA